rnacentral:rRNA from 1 species
AUUGAACGCUGGCGGCAGGCUUAACACAUGCAAGUCGAGCGGAGAGAGGUAGCUUGCUACUGAUCUUAGCGGCGGACGGGUGAGUAAUGCUUAGGAAUCUGCCUAUUAGUGGGGGACAACAUUUCGAAAGGAAUGCUAAUACCGCAUACGUCCUACGGGAGAAAGCAGGGGAUCUUCGGACCUUGCGCUAAUAGAUGAGCCUAAGUCGGAUUAGCUAGUUGGUGGGGUAAAGGCCUACCAAGGCGACGAUCUGUAGCGGGUCUGAGAGGAUGAUCCGCCACACUGGGACUGAGACACGGCCCAGACUCCUACGGGAGGCAGCAGUGGGGAAUAUUGGACAAUGGGCGCAAGCCUGAUCCAGCCAUGCCGCGUGUGUGAAGAAGGCCUUAUGGUUGUAAAGCACUUUAAGCGAGGAGGAGGCUACUUUAGUUAAUACCUAGAGAUAGUGGACGUUACUCGCAGGAAAAGCACCGGCUAACUCUGUGCCAGCAGCCGCCGUAAUAC